CAGCCGCCGCGGUAAUACGUAGGGCGCAAGCGUUGUCCGGAAUUAUUGGGCGUAAAGAGCUCGUAGGCGGCUUGUCACGUCUGCUGUGAAAUCCCGGGGCUCAACCCCGGGCGUGCAGUGGAUACGGGCUGGCUAGAGGCAGGCAGGGGAGAACGGAAUUCCCGGUGUAGCGGUGAAAUGCGCAGAUAUCGGGAGGAACACCGGUGGCGAGGGCGGUUCUCUGGGCCUGUUCUGACGCUGAGGAGCGAAAGCGUGGGGAGCGAACAGGAUUAGAUACCCGAGUAGUCCCUGUCUCUUAUAC
rnacentral:rRNA from 1 species